AUCUAAAGGGCUGUGAUUCAUAUUUUUCUGUGUUUGCUGUGGAUAUAGCUCUCUUGCCGAUGCUCUCUUGAUCUGCUUAAUACUUGGUAUCCCCCUUCUUGCAAAUCCUGUAUUCUGUCACUUGAGCAAGUGAAAGGGAAAUGGGAGGGGACUUAUUUUGUCUCAGGUGUUCAUAAGAGCUUAGGAAGAGUCCUACUGGAUCAGGCCAAUGGCACGUCUAGUCUAGCAUCCAGUUUUCACAUUGGCUUGCCCGAUUCCCAUGGGAAGCUUGCAAGUAGAAUAUAGUUUAUUAGCCAGAGGAAUUGAAAACGUCCCUUAACUUCACGUGCACAGAUCUUGGCUCUACUAUGACCAGCCUUGCAGAUAAGUGUGCAGAAAUGACUACUGCACAAACAUCUUACUACCUGUCCCAGAUGUGUUUGUGCCAUAAAUUGACUGCAUAGAGGGAAAAGAUCCUAACGAAGAAAAAACCUGCCUGUCUGAUGAUCACCUGGAGGCAAGGGUGUUGCUAGGUACUUCAAAGACUUUGGUCACAGACCUGCACUUGCCUCUGGGAGAAUUUAGUUGGCUGGCUGAGUGUUUUUUAUUGACUUGGUAGUCUUAGGUGUAACUUGCCCUAUAAAGACAUGUUUAUAAACAGUAAAAUGAAACAAAGCAACAACUCUUAAAUCCCUUCUUCCAGUACAAAAACAACAGCAAUAAAGAUAGCAUUAUCCUAUAUAGUUACUUUACAGCAGCAAACAGUUGAACAGUAGAUGCUUGCUGACAUAAAACCAUUUUUGGAGCACCCAGCCAGGUCUCUGAGGCUAAUCUUAAAGCUCUGGCAGGCUUCUUUGAGGGGAAAGUACAUAGUUCUUAAGAUAAAAUGGAACUUGGAAGACAGAGUUAUCUACAUCUUGCUUGGUAGAAGUCAGUGGUUUGGUUUUGUUUUUUAACAGCCUAAGAGGCUAGCCUUUACGUGCUUGCCAGGAGCGAUUAGGGCUUUUCUCUUCUGCGGCCAACAUAGAAUCACAUAGAAUCAUAGAACACCUGAAUUUUGUAGGACUUACUUCUGGGUAGGGAUUGCAUUGCCCAAAUGCAAACUUUACUGGAUCAAAAAUAUAAAGCAGCCUCACCAUCUUUGAACUAUAACUGCUGGCUGAGGCUGAUGGGAAUUGUAGUCUCAAAAAUCUGGAGGGAACCUACGGGGGAAAUGUGGGCCAUAACAACAACAACAACAACAACAACCGGGUUGGGGAAGGCUGAGGUUCAAGUUCAUUAUUGGAGUCUGUUACUGUAUUGCAGGGGUCAGCAAACUUUCAGCAGGGGGCCGGUCCACUGUCCCUCAGACCUUGUGGAGGGCCAGACUAUAUUUGGGGGGGGGAAUGAACGAAUUCCUAUGCCCCACAAAUAACCCAGAGAUGCAUUUUAAAUAAAAGGACACAUUCUACUCCUGUAAAAACACGCUGAUUCGCGGACCAUCCACGGGCUGGAUUUAGAAGACGACUGGGCUGGAUCUGGCCCCCGGGCCUUAGUUUGCCUACCCAUGCUGUAUUGUUCCAGCUUUUCUGUGAUGUGUGCCAAGUUGUAGAACUCUGCUUAGCAUCACCUUUGUGGAAAGCUGCUUGUGCUCUUAGUUUUUGUUCUAGAGGGAAACCAGAUGCUGCUUAUUAGUCUUGCAGACUGACAGCAGUUGAACUUUUAAAGUCUUAAGAAUUCAGCCAUUCUACUUCAUUGAUGUUACUACGUUAGAUACGCAUUCACCAGCCAUGGGCAGCCAAAGGGGUCUCUCUGUGUCAGAGAGUUGUGGGUCCUUGGACCCCAGGCUUGAAUGUGCCCAUCUGAACAUUCCAGUGUUAGAAACUCAGAUAUAUAAGCUAGGCACCAAAUGGCUACUUAAACUAGGGCUACAGUCGCCAAAAUGGAAUGCCUACUUGCCGUUUUGGGGCCAGACGGCUCGAAAGUCAUAUUUUUCAAUACAAGUUUUUGGUUCCUGAGCUUUGUUCUAAUUGUGCAGAUAAAAUAUAGCAAAUAAUAAUUUAUUUAUUUAUUUAUUUAUAUCAUGCCCAUCUGGCUGGGCUUCCCCAGCCACUCUGGGCAGCUUUCAACAAAAUAUUAAAGUACAGUAAUGCAUCAAACAUUAAAAGCUUCCCAAAACAGGGCUGCCUUCAAAUGUCUUCUGAAAGUCUGGUAGUUGUUGUUCUCUUUGACAUCUGGCAGGAGGGCAUUCCACAGGGCGUGUGCCACUACCUCUGCCUGGUUCCCUGUAACUUGGCUUCUCGAAGUGAGGGAACUGCCAGAAGGCCCUCGGCGCUGGACCUCAGUGGCCGGGCUGAACGAUGGGGGUGGAGACGCUCCUUCAGAUAUACUGGGCCGAGGCCGUUUAGGGCUUUAAAGGUCAGCACCAACACUUUGAAUUGUGCUCGGAAACAUACUGGGAGCCAAUGUAGGUCUUUCAAGACCGGUGUUAUGUGGUCUCGGCAGCCGCUCCCAGUCACCAGUCUAGCUGCCACAUUCUGGAUUAGUUGUAGUUUCUGGGUCACCUUCAAAGGUAGCCCCUCAUAGAGUGCAUUGCAGUAGUCCAAGCGAGAGAUAACCAGAGCAUGCACCACUCUGGCAAGGCAGUCCACAGGCAGAUAGGGUUUCAGCCUGUGUACCAGAUCCAUCUGGUGAACAGCUGCCCUGGACACAGAAUUGACCUGCGCCUCCAUGGACAGCUGCGAGUCCAAAAUGACUCCCAGGCUACGCACCUUCGGGGCACAGUUACCCCAUUCAGGACCAGGAAGUCCUCCAUACCCACCCGCCUCCUGUCCCCCAAAAACAGUACUUCUGUCUUGCCGGGUUUCAACCUCAAUCUGUUAGCCGCCUCCAUCCUCCAUAAAAUUCCAUAGGAUGUGUUGCUAGUGUGUGAAAGCAGUCCAGAUCCAAUGAUCCUAAUUUCCAGAUGGUGAAGACAUCAGGUGCCAUUCUGCUGUUCGGACACCUUCACUUGGUUGCAAGUGGCUGAUAGCCAGGCCAGGUUCAAAAUGUGCCUGGUGAAUUUUGGAACACUGGAACAGCUCUGUCUGGCUCUCAGGACUUUGACCUGCCCACUACUCUGGACAUGCCCCCCUCUCCUAGGUCAACACCCUCACUGACCCUACUUUGUACCCUCCAUGAGUCUGUUUGCCUGGCUGCCAUCACUUGCUUGAAUGGAGGAUUAAAAAAGAGUGUGUGAGAAUAUAGAAAGUAGCCGACUGUACAGAGGUUGAACUUCCAUUUCAUUACUCCAUCCACAUUUGCCUGUGGCCUUGCCCACCACUGACACGUGGCCCCUGGAAAGUUGCUCAGAAGAAGACUGUGGCCCUUGGGUUGAAAAGGAUUCCUCACACCUGCAGUUUGUGGCCUCGUUGAUGUGGUCGAAAGGAAAGCAGAGCAAUAUGUUUGGCACCAGCUUGGCUGCAGGAGUUGCUGGAAGGAGGAGUACAGGGACUCCACUCUUGAUUGUGUUGGGUCUACUGCUUAGACUUUUCUUCUCCUGAAGAUAUCCCCCAAAGCAGUGGAGGCUUAGGGUCAGAGUUUUUCUUCUCCUAGAUGGGCUACCUUCCCAGGCUGACAAGCCCUGUCUGCCCCUCACUUCAACACCAGCUGCUGGAGACAGAAAGGGGAAGGCCCUCACCUUCCCUUGGUGAGUUUUAUCAGAGAGAGACCGCAAAGGUCAGGAAGGCAAAGACAGAACUGUUUCUUUUAGAGGGAGGAAAUGAUAAUGUAGAAGACUGUGGUUUCAUGUCUUUGAUCUAAGAGACUUCAGGGUUGCUCACGUUUCUUUACUCCCUUUAAUCACUGCUGAUAGUGCGACUCUUACUGCAGGCCAAAACUGCAUAAAUAACAUGCAUGUAUUUCUGUGGCUUGACCAGGGUUGAAAGCCGUGACCCUUGUGACCUUGAAAACUUAGAUAAAAUAUGUUCGUAGUCAUUUAUCUUACGCUGUUUGCGUGUAUGAGUAAAAAACAAUGACCUUGGAAAGCCACAAUAACCAACAGUGUUGAUUCUUUAUCUUAUUUGAAUUCAGUGAUGAAAUGCAGGAGAUGGGGAGAACAGUCAAGGGUUCCCAUACAACCGUGUUAGCUGCUCCAUUUUAUUCCCAACUUGCUAUUAUGUGACAUAUUAGAGAUGUGUGUCGUGCCUGUAUAUAUAAAAGCAGACGCCAGAUGCUUUUCUUUUCCAUGUGCUGUCACAGGCAACUGCUUUCUUUGCAAUAUUUAAGAGACUAAGAAUAGACCUUGAAUCUUUACAGCAAGAAGAAUUCUUUUUGGCCCUCUCUCCCCCAAAAUAGGCAACUUAAAGGCAGAUGGUUCUGGGAUAUUAUUUCACGCCAUGCCUGACAGAUUGAAGAGCUUGGAGGUUUCUACUAUUUUAGCCCUUGUUGUUAAGGAUUGUGGAGAAUGAAGAUGGGAAAUAUGGAGCUGUGCUUUUAAAAAAAGUUUUCCCCCUUGUCCCUCCCCAAGUUUCCAGACUAGUAAGCUUCUUCCUAUAAAAAUAUGCUUUUGCUUUCUAUUUACUAGAAAAUCACUAGGAGUUACGGUAUGAAUCUAAUGUAGAAGCACUUUUGUAUUGCUUAUUAUUAAUAUAGCAUUUGCGUUGCUGUUAAAUUCCUUCCAGUCGUUUCUCAGCUUUAUUUGCACAACAUCUCUGAAGUUGCCUGGCCCCUUUGUGCCCAUGUUACUAGUUGCAAACAGGUAACCACCCAGUAUGUUCUAAUGCUAGUGAACGGAGCUUUAAAAAAUAGGUCAGGCCUUCCUUGGUCUCCUUAUUGGUCUUAAAAUUUUCUGGAACUCCAGAGUACAUGUAUUUCUUUUAGAACUUUGUGUAUGUAAUAUUUCCUGUGCUGGCACAGGUCUUCCUGUCUGCAAUUCUGGUUUGGCAAGAGUGGGAACCUACCUAGAUGAUGGGGCAAAGGGAGUCAGCUGCCCUCAUAUAAUUGUUUCAGGAUGCUGAAGGAGAUAUUCCUAUACAGUGGUACCUCGGGUUACAGACGCUUCAGAUUACAGACGCUUCAGGUUACAGACUCCGCUAACCCAGAAACAGUACCUCAGGUUAAGAACUUUGCUUCAGGAUGAGAACAGAUAUCGCGCAGCAGGAGUGGCGCGGCGGCAGCAGGAGGCCCCAUUAGCUAAAGCAGUGCUUCAGGUUAAGAACAGUUUCAGGUUAAGAACGGACCUCCAGAACGAAUUAAGUUCUUAACCUGAGGUACCACUGUAUAGUGGUACCUCUGGUUACGAACGCUUCAGGUUACGAGCUCCGCUAACCCAGAAGUAGCUGCUCCUGGUUGCGAACUUUGCCCCAGGAUGCGAACGGAAAUCGCGUGCCUCUGGUGUGCAUGCAGCAGGAGACCCCAUUAGUGAAAGCGCGCCUCAGGAUAAGAACAGUUUCAGCUUAAGAAUGGACCUCUGGAACGAAUUAAGUUCGUAACCAGAGGUACCACUGUACAAGGCAGUAGAAGGUAACUCUCUACCCAGCCUUGUUGGAGUGCAAACUACUUUCCAUUCAAAUCCACAUACACAUCCCUGCCUCUGAUCUUUGCUGCUCCAGCUCUCCCAUUUUUCCAGUCAUAUAAGAGCUCCUGCUUCCUUAAAUUCUUUUAUUUUCUUGCUUGCUGCCCCGUAGACUUGGAACUCUUGCCAGAAUAUUUGCAUGAUGCCAUCUCUCCCUUCCUUAAAAAAACCCACGUUUUCUGUGAAGCCUUUUGCUUAGUCCCCUAGUUCCUGUACCCCACUAUAACAGAUCUUGUUUCUAAGCCUAAGCAUAUGCAACAGAAACAACCACUUCCCAAUUUACCCUACUUCCCACUUCAUUUAUUUUCCCUCUGUUGAAUUUGUUGGAGGAACUGGAAAUGGAGGAAGUGGUUAAUUUCCUUCAUGAGCACAAUUUACUCCAUGGUCUGAGAUAAGCCAACAGGUGCAAGGUCAGGCAAGCCAGUUGCUAUGGCAACAGCCCAGUGCUGUCUAUAUAAGUGACUAAGGCAUGUCAGCUCUUUUGGUCCAGGGUUCUUGUGUAGUGUGUCAGGGUCAGUCUUCAGAAGUGAGUCGGAGUCUGUGUUAUGUACUGAAUUGCUGGAGCAACAGAGAUACUUUGUACUUGUAUAUAUCUGUAUCUCUGUCUGAAAAAGCCUACAAGCUGUAUGUAUAUAUCAGUGUCCAUAGCUGUAUUACUGAAGCCUAAUCUUCUGCAGCAGUAAACUAUUUUGGAAAGCUAGUGAUUAUUGAGAGGUUGAGAUCCAUGCAUUGUGUCUACAGGAAAGAGAAGGCCUCUUAGAAGCCAAUCUGUGCGUGUUUGUAAAGGUCACUGAAUAUUUUGAGUGUGAAUUAGCAACUGUAGGAUUGGGGCUUCACUAUGUAAAAGGUGUUUGGCCCCAUGCAUAAGAAAGUGAACUAUAUGGUUCAAUACUAUGGCUUUUUGUAAGGAAGCACUGCAUUUUCGUAACAUGAUUAUUCAGCAUACUUGUCUUCCUAUAACCCGUGUGUAGUUGGAUAAUGACCAUUGACGGGAUACAGGAUAAAAUCUAGUUGGUGCUUUUGUGCUCAUGGAAGUGGGUGCCUUCACUAAUGAAGAGCGGGGGAGGUGAUUAAUCCCCCCACUUCCUUCCCCUCUCAGUACCCCUAAAACUAGUUCCAGAGAAUUCAUUUCAGAACAGGGUGGGUGCAGAGGCUGCCAUGCUAAAGAGGCAAGAGCCCCAGUUGAAUUUCACCACGUGCUGUUAAGAUGACAAAUCUUUGGCUGGAUACCUAAUUUGCAUGUGAGGAGUUAGGGAUGCAGUGUGCUAUAUACUUACAAUAUUCAGCAUAGUUUGCAUCUCUUAUUGCC